GUAAAAAGUAGAAUAAUAGAUUUGAAAUAUUUAUUAUAUAGAUUUAAAGAGAUAAUCAUGGAGUAUAAUAAUUAAAUUUAAUAAAUUUAAUAUAACUAUUAAUAGAAUUAGGUUACUAAUAAAUUAAUAACAAUUAAUUUUAAAACCUAAAGGUAAACCUUUAUAUUAAUAAUGUUAUUUUUUAUUAUAUUUAUAAUAAGAAUAAUUAUUAAUAAUAAUAAACUAAGUGAACUGAAACAUCUAAGUAACUUAAGGAUAAGAAAUCAACAGAGAUAUUAUGAGUAUUGGUGAGAGAAAAUAAUAAAGGUCUAAUAAGUAUUAUGUGAAAAAAAUGUAAGAAAAUAGGAUAACAAAUUCUAAGACUAAAUACUAUUAAUAAGUAUAGUAAGUACCGUAAGGGAAAGUAUGAAAAUGAUUAUUUUAUAAGCAAUCAUGAAUAUAUUAUAUUAUAUUAAUGAUGUACCUUUUGUAUAAUGGGUCAGCAAGUAAUUAAUAUUAGUAAAACAAUAAGUUAUAAAUAAAUAGAAUAAUAUAUAUAUAUAAAAAAAUAUAUUAAAAUAUUUAAUUAAUAUUAAUUGACCCGAAAGCAAACGAUCUAACUAUGAUAAGAUGGAUAAACGAUCGAACAGGUUGAUGUUGCAAUAUCAUCUGAUUAAUUGUGGUUAGUAGUGAAAGACAAAUCUGGUUUGCAGAUAGCUGGUUUUCUAUGAAAUAUAUGUAAGUAUAGCCUUUAUAAAUAAUAAUUAUUAUAUAAUAUUAUAUUAAUAUUAUAUAAAGAAUGGUACAGCAAUUAAUAUAUAUUAGGGAACUAUUAAAGUUUUAUUAAUAAUAUUAAAUCUCGAAAUAUUUAAUUAUAUAUAAUAAAGAGUCAGAUUAUGUGCGAUAAGGUAAAUAAUCUAAAGGGAAACAGCCCAGAUUAAGAUAUAAAGUUCCUAAUAAAUAAUAAGUGAAAUAAAUAUUAAAAUAUUAUAAUAUAAUCAGUUAAUGGGUUUGACAAUAACCAUUUUUUAAUGAACAUGUAACAAUGCACUGAUUUAUAAUAAAUAAAAAAAAAUAAUAUUUAAAAUCAAAUAUAUAUAUAUUUGUUAAUAGAUAAUAUACGGAUCUUAAUAAUAAGAAUUAUUUAAUUCCUAAUAUGGAAUAUUAUAUUUUUAUAAUAAAAAUAUAAAUACUGAAUAUCUAAAUAUUAUUAUUACUUUUUUUUUAAUAAUAAUAAUAUGGUAAUAGAACAUUUAAUGAUAAUAUAUAUUAGUUAUUAAUUAAUAUAUGUAUUAAUUAAAUAGAGAAUGCUGACAUGAGUAACGAAAAAAAGGUAUAAACCUUUUCACCUAAAACAUAAGGUUUAACUAUAAAAGUACGGCCCCUAAUUAAAUUAAUAAGAAUAUAAAUAUAUUUAAGAUGGGAUAAUCUAUAUUAAUAAAAAUUUAUCUUAAAAUAUAUAUAUUAUUAAUAAUUAUAUUAAUAAUAUAUAUAAUUAUAUUAUAUAUUUUUUUUAUAUAAUAUAAACUAAUAAAGAUCAGGAAAUAAUUAAUGUAUACCGUAAUGUAGACCGACUCAGGUAUGUAAGUAGAGAAUAUGAAGGUGAAUUAGAUAAUUAAAGGGAAGGAACUCGGCAAAGAUAGCUCAUAAGUUAGUCAAUAAAGAGUAAUAAGAACAAAGUUGUACAACUGUUUACUAAAAACACCGCACUUUGCAGAAACGAUAAGUUUAAGUAUAAGGUGUGAACUCUGCUCCAUGCUUAAUAUAUAAAUAAAAUUAUUUAACGAUAAUUUUAUUAAAUUUAGGUAAAUAGCAGCCUUAUUAUGAGGGUUAUAAUGUAGCGAAAUUCCUUGGCCUAUAAUUGAGGUCCCGCAUGAAUGACGUAAUGAUACAACAACUGUCUCCCCUUUAAGCUAAGUGAAAUUGAAAUCGUAGUGAAGAUGCUAUGUACCUUCAGCAAGACGGAAAGACCCUAUGCAGCUUUACUGUAAUUAGAUAGAUCGAAUUAUUGUUUAUUAUAUUCAGCAUAUUAAGUAAUCCUAUUAUUAGGUAAUCGUUUAGAUAUUAAUGAGAUACUUAUUAUAAUAUAAUGAUAAUUCUAAUCUUAUAAAUAAUUAUUAUUAUUAUUAAUAAUAAUAAUAAUAUGCUUUCAAGCAUAGUGAUAAAACAUAUUUAUAUGAUAAUCACUUUACUUAAUAGAUAUAAUUCUUAAGUAAUAUAUAAUAUAUAUUAUAUAUAUAUUAUAUAUAAUAUAAGAGACAAUCUCUAAUUGGUAGUUUUGAUGGGGCGUCAUUAUCAGCAAAAGUAUCUGAAUAAGUCCAUAAAUAAAUAUAUAAAAUUAUUGAAUAAAAAAAUAAUAUAUAUUAUAUAUAUUAAUUAUAAAUUGAAAUAUGUUUAUAUAAAUUUAUAUUUAUUGAAUAUAUUUUAGUAAUAGAUAAAAAUAUGUACAGUAAAAUUGUAAGGAAAACAAUAAUAACUUUCUCCUCUCUCGGUGGGGGUUCACACCUAUUUUUAAUAGGUGUUCACCCCUCUUCGGGGUUCCGGUUCCCUUUCGGGUCCCGGAACUUAAAUAAAAAUGGAAAGAAUUAAAUUAAUAUAAUGGUAUAACUGUGCGAUAAUUGUAACACAAACGAGUGAAACAAGUACGUAAGUAUGGCAUAAUGAACAAAUAACACUGAUUGUAAAGGUUAUUGAUAACGAAUAAAAGUUACGCUAGGGAUAACAGGGUAAUAUAGCGAAAGAGUAGAUAUUGUAAGCUAUGUUUGCCACCUCGAUGUCGACUCAACAUUUCCUCUUGGUUGUAAAAGCUAAGAAGGGUUUGACUGUUCGUCAAUUAAAAUGUUACGUGAGUUGGGUUAAAUACGAUGUGAAUCAGUAUGGUUCCUAUCUGCUGAAGGAAAUAUUAUCAAAUUAAAUCUCAUUAUUAGUACGCAAGGACCAUAAUGAAUCAACCCAUGGUGUAUCUAUUGAUAAUAAUAUAAUAUAUUUAAUAAAAAUAAUACUUUAUUAAUAUAUUAUCUAUAUUAGUUUAUAUUUUAAUUAUAUAUUAUCAUAGUAGAUAAGCUAAGUUGAUAAUAAAUAAAUAUUGAAUACAUAUUAAAUAUGAAGUUGUUUUAAUAAGAUAAUUAAUCUGAUAAUUUUAUACUAAAAUUAAUAAUUAUAGGUUUUAUAUAUUAUUUAUAAAUAUAAUAUAAUAAUUAUUAUUAUUAAUAAAAAAAAAUAUUAAUUAUAAUAUUAAUAAAAUACUAAUUUAUCAGUUAUCUAUAUAAUAUCUAAUCUAUUAUUCUAUAUACU
rnacentral:rRNA from 1 species